CACGAAGGGUGCAAGCGUUACUCGGAAUCACUGGGCGUAAAGCGUGCGUAGGCGGUUCGUUAAGUCUGUUGUGAAAGCCCUGGGCUCAACCUGGGAACUGCAGUGGAUACUGGCGAGCUAGAGUACGGUAGAGGAAGGUGGAAUUCCCGGUGUAGCGGUGAAAUGCGUAGAGAUCGGGAGGAACACCAGUGGCGAAGGCGGCCUUCUGGACCAGUACUGACGCUGAGGCACGAAAGCGUGGGGAGCAAACAGG
rnacentral:rRNA from 1 species